rfam:Dipodomys ordii contig_72842, whole genome shotgun sequence.
GGUGGCUCAGUGGUAAAGUGCUUGCCUUGCAUGCAUGAGGCUCUGGGUUCAAUUCCUCAGCACCA